GACGAACGCUGGCGGCACGCCUAACACAUGCAAGUCGAACGGUGACGGUGGAACUUGUUCCACUCGAACAGUGGCGGACGGGUGAGUAACACGUGAGCAACCUGCCUUUCAGAGGGGGACAACAGUUGGAAACGACUGCUAAUACCGCAUAAAAUAACGGAACCGCAUGAUUCUGUUAUCAAAGGAGAAAUCCGCUGAAAGAUGGGCUCGCGUCUGAUUAGAUAGUUGGUGAGGUAACGGCUCACCAAGUCGACGAUCAGUAGCCGGACUGAGAGGUUGAACGGCCACAUUGGGACUGAGACACGGCCCAG
rnacentral:rRNA from 1 species